UACGAAGGGUGCAAGCGUUAAUCGGAAUUACUGGGCGUAAAGCGCGCGUAGGUGGUUCAGUAAGUUAGGAGUGAAAGCCCCGGGCUUAACCUGGGAAUUGCUUCUAAAACUGCUGAGCUAGAGUACGGUAGAGGGUGGUGGAAUUUCCUGUGUAGCGGUGAAAUGCGUAGAUAUAGGAAGGAACAUCAGUGGCGAAGGCGACCACCUGGACUGAUACUGACACUGAGGUGCGAAAGCGUGGGGAGCAAACAGGAUUAGAUACCCCGGUAGUCC
rnacentral:rRNA from 1 species